AUUUUUCUCAAUGGGGGAAACCCUGAAGGAGCGACGCCGCGUGGGGGAUGAAUGGCUUCGGCCCGUAAACCCCUGUCAUUUGCGAACAAACCUUAUCAUUUAAAAGAUGAUGAGCUGAUUGUAGCGAAAGAGGAAGGGACGGCUAACUCUGUGCCAGCAGCCGCGGUAAUACAGAGGUCCCAAGCGUUGUUCGGAUUCACUGGGCGUAAAGGGUGCGUAGGUGGUUGGGUAAGUUUGAUGUGAAAGCUCUGGGCUCAACCCAGAAAUGGCAUUGAAUACUAUCCAGCUAGAGGAGUGGAGGGGGGACUGGAAUACUUGGUGUAGCAGUGAAAUGCGUAGAUAUCAAGUGGAACACCAGUGGCGAAGGCGAGUCCCUGGACACUUCCUGACACUGAGGCACGAAAGCUAGGGGAGCAAAC
rnacentral:rRNA from 1 species